AACAGCCGCGGUAAUUCCAGCUCCAAUAGCGUAUAUUAAAGUGUUGCAGUUAAAAAGCUCGUAGUUGAAUUUCGGGAUCAAUACGUUGGUCGUGCUUUCGGGUACGUACUGGCGUCGUUGGUUUCUCUCUUCUGACGAACCAUGAUGUCAUUAGUUUGGUGUUAUGGGGAGUUAGGACUGUUACUUUGAAAAAAUUAGAGUGUUUAAAGCAGGCAUUAGCUUGAAUACAUUAGCAUGGAAUAAUGAAAUAGGACGUUUGAUCCUAUUUUGUUGGUUUCUAGGAUCGACGUAAUGAUUAACAGGGAUAGUUGGGGGCAUUAGUAUUCAAUUGUCGGAGGUGAAAUUCUUGGAUUUAUUGAAGACUAACUACUGCGAAAGCAUUUGCCAAGGAUGUUUUCAUUAAUCAAGAACGAAAGUUAGGGGAUCGAAGACGAUCAGAUACCGUCGUAG
rnacentral:rRNA from 1 species